CCUACGGGAGGCAGCAGUGGGGAAUCUUGCGCAAUGGGGGAAACUCUGACGCAGCGACGCCGCGUGGAGGAUGAAGGCCUUCGGGUUGUAAACUCCUGUCAGAGGGGACGAAAUCCCGCAAGGGACUGACGGUACCCUCAGAGGAAGCCCCGGCUAACUACGUGCCAGCAGCCGCGGUAAUACGUAGGGGGCAAGCGUUACUCGGAAUUACUGGGCGUAAAGGGUGAGUAGGCGGCUGGGCAAGUCAAGGAUGAAAUCCCGAGGCUCAACUUCGGAACUGUCCUUGAAACUGCUCAGCUUGAGGGUAGUUGGGGAGAGCGGAAUUCCCGGUGGAGCGGUGAAAUGCGUAGAUAUCGGGAGGAACACCAGAGGCGAAGGCGGCUCUCUAAGCUACUCCUGACGCUGAAUCACGAAAGCUAGGGGAGCAAACG
rnacentral:rRNA from 1 species